rnacentral:piRNA from 1 species
AGAACUAGGGUAUGUAUCCAGAAAGC